rnacentral:rRNA from 1 species
AACGAACGCUGGCGGCAUGCCCAACACAUGCAAGUCGAACGAGACCUUCGGGUCUAGUGGCGCACGGGUGCGUAACGCGUGGGAACCUGCCUUUAGGUUCGGAAUAACUCAGAGAAAUUUGAGCUAAUACCGGAUGAUGUCUUCGGACCAAAGAUUUAUCGCCUUUAGAUGGGCCCGCGUUGGAUUAGCUAGUUGGUGGGGUAAAGGCCUACCAAGGCGACGAUCCAUAGCUGGUCUGAGAGGAUGAUCAGCCACACUGGGACUGAGACACGGCCCAGACUCCUACGGGAGGCAGCAGUGGGGAAUAUUGGACAAUGGGCGAAAGCCUGAUCCAGCAAUGCCGCGUGAGUGAUGAAGGCCUUAGGGUUGUAAAGCUCUUUUACCCGAGAUGAUAAUGACAGUAUCGGGAGAAUAAGCUCCGGCUAACUCCGUG